GAUUCCUUGGUGUAGUUGGUUAUCACGUCAGCCUAACACGCUGAAGGUCGCCAGUUCGAACCUGGCAGGAAUC
rnacentral:tRNA from 2 species